GAUGAACGCUAGCGGGAGGCCUAACACAUGCAAGCCGAGCGGUAGAGUUUCUUCGGAGACUUGAGAGCGGCGCACGGGUGCGUAACACGUGUGCAACCUACCUUUAUCUGGGGGAUAGCCUUUCGAAAGGAAGAUUAAUACCCCAUAAUAUAAUGAUUGGCAUCAAUUAUUAUUGAAAACUCCGGUGGAUAGAGAUGGGCACGCGCAAGAUUAGAUAGUUGGUGAGGUAACGGCUCACCAAGUCAAUGAUCUUUAGGGGUCCUGAGAGGGAGGUCCCCCAGACUGGUACUGAGACACGGACCAGACUCCUACGGCAGGCAGCAGUAAGGGAUAUUGGACAAUGGGUGAGAGCCUGAUCCAGCCAUCCCGCGUGAAGGAUGACGGUCCUCUGGAUUGUAACCUUCUUUUGUACAGGGAUAAACCUACUCUCGUGAGGGUAGCUGAAGGUACUGUACGAAUAAGCACCGGCUAACUCCGUG
rnacentral:rRNA from 1 species